UACGGGAGGCAGCAGUGGGGAAUAUUGCACAAUGGGCGAAAGCCUGAUGCAGCUAUGCCGCGUGUAUGAAGAAGGCCUUAGGGUUGUAAAGUACUUUCAUCGGGGAGGAAAAAACAAAACUAAUAAUUUUAUUUCUUGACGUUACCCGAAAAAGAAGCACCGGCUAACUCCGUGCCAGCAGCCACGGUAAUACGGAGGGUGCUAGCGUUAAUCAGAAUUACUGGGCGUAAAGAGCACGUAGGUGGUUUUUUUAAGUCAGAUGUGAAAUCCCUGGGCUUAACCUAGGAACUGCAUUUUGAAACUGAAAUACUAGAGUAUCGUAGAGGGAGGUAGAAUUCUAGGUGUAGCGGUGAAAUGCGUAGAUAUCUGGAGGAAUACCUGUGGCGAAAGCGGCCUCCUAAACGAAUACUGACACUGAGGUGCGAAAGCGUGGGGAGCAAACAGGGAUUAGAUACC
rnacentral:rRNA from 1 species